GAUGAACGCUAGCGGGAGGCUUAACACAUGCAAGUCGAGGGGUACUCCGAUUUAUCGGGGGAGACCGGCGGACGGGUGCGUAACGCGUAUGCAACCUGCCUUAUACAGGGGGAUAGCCCGUGGAAACGCGGAUUAACACCCCAUAGGUCGCUGGUAUCGCAUGGUACAGGCGGUAAAAUUGAGGUGGUAUAAGAUGGGCAUGCGUCUGAUUAGCUGGUUGGUAGGGUAACGGCCUACCAAGGCGACGAUCAGUAGGGGUUCUGAAAGGAUAAUCCCCAACACUGGUACUGGGACACGGACCAGAAUCCUACGGGAGGCAGCAGUGAGGAAUAUUGGUCAAUGGGCGAGAGCCUGAACCAGCCAUUCCGCGUGAAGGAAGAAGGCCUUAUGGGUUGUAAACUUCUUUUCUGUAAGAAGAAUAGCUCCGACGCGUCGGGGUAUGACGGUAUUAUAGGAAUAAGCAUCGGCUAACUCCGUGCCAGCCGCCGCAGUAACAC
rnacentral:rRNA from 1 species